rnacentral:rRNA from 1 species
UACGUAGGGGGCUAGCGUUAUCCGGAAUUACUGGGCGUAAAGGGUGCGUAGGUGGUUUCUCAAGUCAGAGGUGAAAGGCUACGGCUCAACCGUAGUAAGCCUUUGAAACUGGGAAACUUGAGUGCAGGAGAGGAGAGUGGAAUUCCUAGUGUAGCGGUGAAAUGCGUAGAUAUUAGGAGGAACACCAGUUGCGAAGGCGGCUCUCUGGACUGUAACUGACGCUGAGGCACGAAAGCGUGGGGAGCAAACAGGAUUAGAUACCCCCGUAGUCCCUGAG